ACAUACGACCAUAGGAAGUGGAAAAUAGGGCUUCCCGUCCGCUCAGCCGUACUCAAGCCACUUGCCGGUCAGUUAGUAGUAUGGUGGGUGACCACAUGCGAAUCCUGACUGUUGUAUGUAAUU
rnacentral:rRNA from 2 species